rnacentral:rRNA from 1 species
GGCGAACCGGGGGAACUGAAACAUCUAAGUACCCCGAGGAAAAGAAAUCAACCGAGAUUCCCCCAGUAGCGGCGAGCGAACGGGGAGGAGCCCAGAGCCUGAAUCAGCAUGUGUGUUAGUGGAAGCGUCUGGAAAGGCGCGCGAUACAGGGUGACAGCCCCGUACACAAAAGCGCAUGUGCUGUGAGCUCGAUGAGUAGGGCGGGACACGUGGUAUCCUGUCUGAAUAUGGGGGGACCAUCCUCCAAGGCUAAAUACUCCUGACUGACCGAUAGUGAACCAGUACCGUGAGGGAAAGGCGAAAAGAACCCCGGCGAGGGGAGUGAAAAAGAACCUGAAACCGUGUACGUACAAGCAGUGGGAG